GAUGAACGCUGGCGGCGUGCCUAAUACAUGCAAGUCGAGCGAACAGACGAGGAGCUUGCUCCUCUGACGUUAGCGGCGGACGGGUGAGUAACACGUGGAUAACCUACCUAUAAGACUGGGAUAAAUUCGGGAAACCGGAGCUAAUACCGGAUAAUAUAUUGAACCGCAUGGUUCAAUAGUGAAAGACGGUUUUGCUGUCACUUAUAGAUGGAUCCGCGCCGCAUUAGCUAGUUGGUAAGGUAACGGCUUACCAAGGCAACGAUGCGUAGCCGACCUGAGAGGGUGAUCGGCCACACUGGAACUGAGACACGGUCCAGACUCCUACGGGAGGCAGCAGUAGGGAAUCUUCCGCAAUGGGCGAAAGCCUGACGGAGCAACGCCGCGUGAGUGAUGAAGGUCUUCGGAUCGUAAAACUCUGUUAUUAGGGAAGGACAAAUGUGUAAGUAACUAUGCACGUCUUGACGGUACCUAAUCAGAAAGCCACGGCUAACUACGUG
rnacentral:rRNA from 1 species